rnacentral:misc_RNA from 1 species
UACACACCGCCCGUCGCUACUACCGAUUGAAUGAUUUAGUGAGGCCUUCGGACUGGUACGCGGCUCUCGCUGCAACUGUGGUGGUGCCGCCGUUGCCGGAAAGAUGGCCAAACUUGAUCAUUUAGAGGAAGUAAAAGUCGUAACAAGGUUUCCGUAGGUGAACCUGCGGAAGGAUCAUUAACGAACGCUCUACAUAUUAACGUAUGGAGAGAAAGAUAAAAAAACACGUCUAGUGUUUUGUGAACGAAUGAAAUCGCGUCGACGCGGGUACCGGCCGAAUUAGCCGGUUUUAAAAGCCUUGCGCCCCGUCCGCGAGAGAGAAAGGGAUCUACAUCCCGGUCGGUAUUUUGUGUGACGAAUGGACCACGCUGAAGAUCUCGAGAGAGAUCCGAAAAUCAUAAAAUGAGUAAAAAUCCUAUCCUAUGCGGUGGAUCACUCGGCUCGUGGAUCGAUGAAGAACGCAGC